rnacentral:lncRNA from 1 species
AUGGAUGGUUGUUUGGUACAGCGGUUAAAAAAGCCACUUGGGGCACCCACAUCCUAUACUGAAGUACAUAUAUACUGGAGUGUAUAUAUACUGGAGUGUAUAUAUACUGGAGUGUAUAUACUGGAGUGUGUAUAUACUGGAGUGUAUAUAUACUGGAGUGCAUAUACUGGAGUGUGCAUAUACUGGAGUGUAUAUAUACUGGAGUGUAUAUAUACUGGAGUGUGUAUAUACUGGAGUGUGCAUAUACUGGAGUGUGUAUAUACUGGAGUGUAUAUAUACUGGAGUGCAUAUACUGGAGUGUGCAUAUACUGGAGUGUAUAUACUGGAGUGUGUAUAUACUGGAGUGUAUAUACUGGAGUGUAUAUAUACUGGAGUGUGUAUAUACUGGAGUGUGUAUAUACUGGAGUGUAUAUAUACUGGAGUGUAUAUACUGGAGUGUGCAUAUACUGGAGUGUAUAUACUGGAGUGUAUAUACUGGAGUGUAUAUACUGGAGUGUAUAUACUGGAGUGUGUAUAUACUGGAGUGUAUAUACUGGAGUGUAUAUACUGGAGUGUAUAUACUGGAGUGUGUAUAUACUGGAGUGUGUAUAUACUGGAGUGUAUAUACUGGAGUGUAUAUACUGGAGUGUAUAUACUGGAGUGUAUAUACUGGAGUGUGUAUAUACUGGAGUGUAUAUACUGGAGUGUGUAUAUACUGGAGUGUAUAUACUGGAGUGUAUAUACUGGAGUGUAUAUACUGGAGUGUGUAUAUACUGGAGUAUGUAUAUACUGGAGUGUAUAUACUGGAGUGUAUAUAUACUGGAGUGUAUAUACUGGAGUGUAUAUACUGGAGUGUAUAUACUGGAGUGUGUAUAUACUGGAGUGCAUAUACUGGAGUGUGCAUAUACUGGAGUGUAUAUAUACUGGAGUGUUAUAUACUGGAGUAUAUAUAUACUGGAGUGUAUAUACUGGAGUGUGUAUAUACUGGAGUAUAGGGUCUGGUUCAAGUCUGGCUCCUCUGCUUCCAAUCUAGCUCUCUGUGAAUGUGCACCCUGGGGGGCAGGAGAUGAUGGCUCAAGUACUCGGGUCCCUGUCACCCACGUGGGAGACCCAGAUGGAGUACUGGACUCCUGGCUUCAGCCUGGCCCUGGCUCUGGGUUGUAG